CCGUGGCAGCCCUCGGACACCGAGCCCUGCUCCCUGCCCCUGGAGCACUCCUUUGAGCCGGACGAUGCCCCCCGCUUCCGCCGCCGGGGGACCCUGACCUGGACCCCCGGGCCCGAGCUGGGGCUGAGCCUGGCGCAGAAGCAGCUCACGGAGGAGGAGCGCAACCAACUGCGGGAGGUGGCCGCCAGGGACGGGCUGUACCGCGUGCGCAUCCCCAGGCGGGCGCCGGGACCCGGCGAGGACCCCGCGGGCUCCCACGUGACCUCCUUCGUGCGCGCGGUCAGUUGGGGGG